rnacentral:rRNA from 1 species
CGGACGGGUGAGUAACGCGUGGGUAACCUGCCUUGUACUGGGGGACAACAGUUAGAAAUGACUGCUAAUACCGCAUAAGCGCACAGUAUCGCAUGAUACAGUGUGAAAAACUCCGGUGGUACAAGAUGGGCCCGCGUCUGAUUAGCUAGUUGGUAAGGUAAGGGCUUACCAAGGCGACGAUCAGUAGCCGACCUGAGAGGGUGACCGGCCACAUUGGGACUGAGACACGGCCCAA